AAUUGGAGGGCAAGUCUGGUGCCAGCAGCCGCGGUAAUUCCAGCUCCGAUAGCGUAUAUUAAAGUUGUUGCAGUUAAAAAGCUCGUAGUUGAAUUUCGGGGUCAGUAGGUUGGUCAUGCCACAGGUAUGUACUGAUCUUACUGAUUCCUCCUUCCUGAUGAACCGUAAUGCCAUUAAUUUGGUGUUGCGGGGAAACUGGACUGUUACUUUGAAAAAAUUAGAGUGUUUAAAGCAGGCUAACGCUUGAAUACAUUAGCAUGGAAUAAUGAAAUAGGACGUUCGAUCCUAUUUUGUUGGUUUCUAGGAUUGACGUAAUGAUUAAUAGGGAUAGUUGGGGGCAUUAGUAUUCAAUUGUCAGAGGUGAAAUUCUUGGAUUUAUUGAAGACUAACUACUGCGAAAGCAUUUGCCAAGGAUGUUUUCAUUAAUCAAGAACGAAAGUUAGGGGAUCGAAGACGAUCAGAUACCGUCGUAGUCUUAACCAUAAACUAUGCCGACUAGGGAUCGGAUGAUGUUAUUUUUAAUGACUCAUUCGGCGCCUUACGGGAAACCAAAGUGU
rnacentral:rRNA from 1 species